rnacentral:rRNA from 1 species
CACGUAGGGUGCGAGCGUUGUCCGGAAUUAUUGGGCGUAAAGAGCUCGUAGGCGGUGUGUCGCGUCGGCCGUGAAAACUUGCAGCUUAACUGUGGGCGUGCGGUCGAUACGGGCAUCACUGGAGUUCGGCAGGGGAGACUGGAAUUCCUGGUGUAGCGGUGAAAUGCGCAGAUAUCAGGAGGAACACCGGUGGCGAAGGCGGGUCUCUGGGCCGAUACUGACGCUGAGGAGCGAAAGCGUGGGGAGCGAAUGGG